UACACCCAUUCUUCUGUGUCAUUUCAGAAGCCACAGUCAACUCCUAAAAGGAUCACUAGGGGCUGGGUACCCUCUUUGCUGAAUUGCAGCCAUACAAACCCAGCUACAGGGCCAACACAUUACCUGCUGCAGACAGGUGUUUGGAAAUGACUGAGAUAGGUCCAGUGAUCUGCCUGUUUUGAGGCAGUCUGGGAAGUAUGCUCACUGCAGAGCUGAUGAACCCAACUGGCCAACCUUGCCUCAAGAACCUGUUUGGUAAAUCAAAACUGCACCCAGAAACAUCAGCAGCUCACGGCAUUAAGUGGUCUUCACGACAUUUGUCCAGGUGCACUUGGAGGCUGGGUGCUUUGUCCCAGUGACGUUGAAUUGGACAUGCUAUAGAAGAAACCUGUGGAACUAGAGUUCUGUGUGGUGUAAUGGAUUGCCCCUUUCCCCUUCAUCAUAGCAACGUAAUGAAGACACAGAAAUUUGUCUUGUCCUCCCACUAAAAAGAAGCAACUCUAAGGUUUUUCAGAUUACUUUCCUUCACCCUGUGCUCCUUCAGAUGUUUCCUGACUUUGCACUGAAGAGGCUGAGAAAGGUAAGUAGAAAAAUAAUUUAGAUUUAACAGAACAGAC